GAAACUAACAAGGAUUCCCCUAGUAACUGCGAGUGAAGCGGGAAAAGCUCAAAUUUAAAAUCUGGCAGUCUCUGGCUGUCCGAGUUGUAAUCUAGAGAAGUGUUAUCCGCGCUGGACCAUGUACAAGUCUCCUGGAACGGAGCGUCAUAGAGGGUGAGAAUCCCGUCUUUGACAUGGACUACCAGGGCUUUGUGAUGCGCUCUCAAAGAGUCGAGUUGUUUGGGAAUGCAGCUCAAAAUGGGUGGUAAAUUCCAUCUAAAGCUAAAUAUUGGCGAGAGACCGAUAGCGAACAAGUACCGUGAGGGAAAGAUGAAAAGAACUUUGGAAAGAGAGUUAAACAGUACGUGAAAUUGUUGAAAGGGAAACGCUUGAAGUCAGUCGCAUUGGCCAGGGAUCAACCUUACACUUGUUGGGUGUACUUUCUGGUCAAUGGGUCAGCAUCAAUUUUGACUGUUGGAAAAAGGUCAGGGGAAUGUGGCAUCUUUGGAUGUGUUAUAGCCCUUGGUUGUAUACAGCAGUUGGGAUUGAGGAACUCAGCACGCCGCAAGGCCGGGUUUUUAACCACGUACGUGCUUAGGAUGCUGGCAUAAUGGCUUUAAUCGACCCGUCUUGAAACACGGACCAAGGAGUCUAACAUGCCUGCGAGUGUUUGGGUGGAAAACCCAUGCGCGUAAUGAAAGUGAAAGUUGAGAUCUCUGUCGUGGAGAGCAUCGACGCCCGGACCAGACCUUUUGUGACGGUCCCGCGGUAGAGCAUGUAUGUUGGGACCCGAAAGAUGGUGAACUAUGCCUGAAUAGGGUGAAGCCAGAGGAAACUCUGGUGGAGGCUCGUAGCGAUUCUGACGUGCAAAUCGAUCGUCGAAUUUGGGUAUA
rnacentral:rRNA from 1 species